ACCCUAAUGUCCAAAACCCUAAUUUACAUAUUUGCUCCAUUCAUGAAUUUAAAGUGUAGCACUAGCACCUACCCACUUAGAUUGACUUGCAUGCAUGAUAUAUUGAAGUAAAACAUAUCAUUUUCUCCUAACCCUCAAGGCUGCCAAAUUGUUUGUCCCUUCAUAACUUAUCAUUUUCUUUAACUUUUCAUGCAAUUUACACUCAUUUCAACUUAAUUUCAAUGCUUAAAGAAGAAAAAAAAGGGAAACAAGUACUAACCUCACUUGUCAAAUUUUCUUGAAUUGCCAAGCUUGAUUUUCUUUCACUUUUCUUCAAUUUUCUUCCUCCCAACUUCUUGUUGAGGUUCAAUUUAAAGGUUUCUACAAAUUUUAGAAAUGAUUUAUGGGGAAAUUUUAGAGUUACCAAAGCUUGAAUUUGAGCUCAAAUGGAGGAAUUAGAGUGAAAAGAGAGAGAGAAGAGGUGAACGGCAAUUUGAAAGGAGAAGAUGACCACUUUGUUUUUUUUUU
rnacentral:misc_RNA from 1 species